rnacentral:rRNA from 1 species
UACAGAGGGUGCGAGCGUUAAUCGGAAUUACUGGGCGUAAAGGGUGCGUAGGCGGCGGGGCAAGUCUGAUGUGAAAUCCCGGGGCUCAACCCCGGAACUGCAUUGGAUACUGCCUUGCUUGAGUACUGGAGAGGGAACUGGAAUUUACGGUGUAGCAGUGAAAUGCGUAGAUAUCGUAAGGAAGGCCAGUGGCGAAGGCGAGUUCCUGGACAGUUACUGACGCUGAGGCACGAAGGCCAGGGGAGCAAACGGG